rnacentral:lncRNA from 1 species
AGACUGCAUUUUGCCUUGCUUUUCCUUCUCCCUUUCUCUCUCUUUCUUUCUUUCUUUCUUUCUUUCUUUCUUUCUUUCUUUCUUUCUUUCUUUCUUUCUUUCUUUCUUUCUUUUUCUUUCUCUCUCUCUCUCUCUUUCUUUCUUUCCUUUCUUUUCUUUCUUUCCUCUUUCUCUUUCCUUCUUUCUUUUUUUCUUCUUUCUUUCCUUCCUUCCUUCCAUCUUUCUUUUCUUUCUUUCCAUUUUUUUUUUCCUCCAGAAGAAUGGAAACAGUAUUCUUUUCCGAUCAGUUCAGUAAUACAAUGUCCUUCAGUGUCCAUAUGAGCAUUUCAGUGGAGAAGAAAAGAAACUUUGCUACCUGGGAACUGAAGACUACUUAGUGAAGAUCCCGGUGUUACACAUCCAAUCGUUCACCUCCUUCCAAGACUAUGACAUUCCAGGAAACCUUCACUGCUAAGAGGAACUAAGAUCUAGAGUAUCUCCUCGAGGAAGUACAACUGGAUUCUCCCUCCUUGGUUCUUCCCUGGACCAAGGACAGAAGAAUCAUUCAACACAGAGGCUAUUGACAAAAGGGGCAUAUUUGGUGCAAACAGGGGUAAGUCAUGAUUAGUUCAUAAAAACUAAAUUCUCAAAAAAUAAUAUGAAAUCUAGGAGAUUCUCCACCACAUAGGAAGUUGUUCUUUAUUGGAUUAUGUCAGAAUAUACAAGUGCAUGUGCACAGUUUUGAAUUUGUCUAGUUUCUUUUUCAUAUUAAAAACAAACACCUGAUUGGAAUUUGACAUCAGAAAAUUAGUACAUUUGAGCUCAGCUCCCCAUGGGCUUGAGAGCAUCUUCAGAAAGAAGGCUUAUGUUCUGGCAGAUGGGGAAUUGGCAUUGUAAAGCAUGGUAUAUGAAAAAGGUGACCUGCAAACUGAUAGAUUCUAGGAAAUCUGUUCUGGAACUCUAAGGGUAAAUAGGUCCAAUUCACUCACUUAGCUAAGAAAAAUAUGGGUAAAGUAGCAUGAGACACUAGGGGAAACAUACUGGGAGAGGGGAACAGAGGACUGGGGUUUUCUUCUUACUUGAGCUUGAGGCUCUUUGGAGCUCAGCAUACUCAUUCAUAGACCAAGGACAGCAGUAUCAGCUUCUCACUUGUCAGUGAUCCUUAGAGUUUGUUGAGAUAAUAAUGAUGAUAGCAUGAUAAAGACAAAAGUAUUACAUCUGUAAAUGGUUCACCAUGAUAUGGCUAUUGCAAAAGCACAAACAUUGAAGCCACACAGACCAUUGCUCUCAAACUGUGUUACUUACCAUAGCAAGUACUAUACCUUGAUUAAGGCAUCAAAUUUUCUGAGCCACAAAACUGUGGCUGCACCUUUAGAAUGGAGAUAAAGUUGUUGGAAAUAUAUGUAAUUUAAAUACAUAAAAUGCCAUAACUUACCCAGGAAUAUUCAAUUUAUGAUUAUCAUUAUCAUCCUCACAGGUAAUUAAUAAGAAGUCCAGUGGCUCACACCUGCGAUCCCAGCACUUUGGGAGGCUGAGAUGGGCAGAUUGCUCGAGCCCAGGAAUUCAAGACCAACCUGGGCAACAUGGCAAAACCCCAUCUCUACAAAAAUACAAAAAUUAACCAGAUGUGAUGGUUCAUGCCUGUAGUCCCAGCUACUCUGGAGGCUGAUGUGGGAGGAUCGCUUGAGCCUAGGAAGUCAAGGCUGCAGUGAGUCAUGAUUGCUCCGCUCCACUGCACUCUGGCCUUGAUGAUAGAGUGAGAACCAGUCUCAAAAAAAAAAAGGUCAUUUUCUAAGCAUUUGUUGAUUCAAUACUGCCCACUAUGUACACUGACAAUUAGACAUAAUUUAAUUUCAGCUCAUGGUAUGAAUGGAGACAAAAUGAAAUCAUUUUAAUGCACAUUAAGGCAAUAUAGUGCCCUUAAAUAAAAAGUUGAAGUUCAUAAGGGACCAUCAUUAAGAUUUAACUUUGUAACAAAUAUUUUGUUUUUGUUUGUUUUAUUUUUAGAUUUGCAUAAUAAAACAUUCAUAUUCUUA